rnacentral:rRNA from 1 species
UCGUGGAAUAGUCUGUCUGGUUAAUUCCGAUAACGAGCGAGACCUCAGCCUGCUAAUUAGAUGGUGGAAUUUCGAUUCUUAUCGUCUUCUUAGAGGGACUUUCGGCUCAAGCCGAAGGAAGUUUGAGGCAAUAACA